rnacentral:rRNA from 1 species
CAGCAGCCGCGGUAAUACGUAGGUGGCGAGCGUUAUCCGGAAUUAUUGGGCGUAAAGCGCGCGUAGGCGGUUUCUUAAGUCUGAUGUGAAAGCCCACGGCUCAACCGUGGAGGGUCAUUGGAAACUGGGAAACUUGAGUGCAGAAGAGGAAAGUGGAAUUCCAUGUGUAGCGGUGAAAUGCGCAGAGAUAUGGAGGAACACCAGUGGCGAAGGCGACUUUCUGGUCUGUAACUGACGCUGAUGUGCGAAAGCGUGGGGAUCAAACAGGAUUAGAUACCCCGGUAGUCCCUGUCUCUUAUAC